UACGAAGGUCCCAAGCGUUAUCCGGAUUUAUUGGGUUUAAAGGGUGCGUAGGCGGGUUAUUAAGUCAGUGGUGAAAGCUCCCAGCUCAACUGGGAAACUGCCAUUGAUACUGAUAGUCUUGAGUAUGAUUGAAGUGGGCGGAAUGUGUCAUGUAGCGGUGAAAUGCUUAGAUAUGACACAGAACACCGAUUGCGAAGGCAGCUCACUAAGCCAUAACUGACGCUGAUGCACGAAAGCGUGGGGAGCAAAC
rnacentral:rRNA from 1 species